rnacentral:rRNA from 1 species
CCUACGGGGGGCUGCAGUCGAGAAUCUUCCACAAUGGACGCAAGUCUGAUGGAGCGACGCCGCGUGUGGGAUGAAGGUCUUUGGAUUGUAAACCACUGUCACGCGUUAUGAAUGCGCGGCAGCGAACACCUGCUGCGUUGACAAAGGCGCGAGAGGAAGCCACGGCUAACUCUGUGCCAGCAGCCGCGGUAAUACAGAGGUGGCAAGCGUUGCUCGGUAUCACUGGGCUUAAAGGGCGCGUAGGCGGUGCGGUGCGGUUUCGGUGAAAUCCCUCGGCCCAACCGAGGAAUAGCCGGAGCUACGGCCGCGCUAGACGGCAUCAGGGGACAGUGGAACUCCCGGUGGAGCGGUGAAAUGCGUAGAUAUCGGGAGGAACGCCGGUGGCGAAAGCGACUGUCUGGGGUGCCUGUGACGCUGAGGCGCGAAAGCCAGGGGAUCAAACGGGAUUAGAUACCCUGGUAGUC